AAUGGGAAAAUAUGAUGACCGCAUAGUUCAGCUGAGACUACCGUGCUGAAUAUCGAAAUUAGUCUUUCACCCCUAUCUGAUACUUCCCUUU
rnacentral:snoRNA from 1 species